rnacentral:misc_RNA from 1 species
UAUGAAAAUAUAUUUUAUAUUAUCCAUUAUUGUACUUGUGGUAUGUUUUUGUUAAAGUUAGUGGUGACAAAUAUGGUGGACCAUUUUCCUAAGUGUGGAUACCGGCGGUGGCCGCCAGGUGGCAGCGUGGUCACUGGCGCCACAAUCAGCUGGAGCACAACAACAACAUUGUCACGGUCGAGCACUCCUUCAACAUUUUUAAGCUUCUAGCUAAAAUGUUUGACUGCUUAACAGAAAGGCAAAAGUUAUGCAUUGAUCAGUGCACUCCCGAGUCAUUAUUUAAGAUAUGUUUGGAUUAUGUAGGAAGGAAUAUCAACCUGGUGGAGUCGUUGGUCCACUUUCCAGAGAUCGUGGGUGAACAGAUCUUGCAGACUUGCAUCCACUGCGGGUAUUUUACUGAGAAUAAUGCCGCCUCAGAGCACAUUAUUAGUCUGUUUGUAACCGCAUAUGGAGAAGAGUUCAUGCAGUCUUUCCAGUGUGAGAGUCUACAGCUGGUUAGCGAGUACUGUGAGUGCAUAGUCCUGCUAUGCCUUCCAGUAACUCAUUUAGAUCUACACGGAUGUCUCUUGGGCAACAACAAUGAUAUUUUGAGAGGAAUAGUGGAUAUGGAGCAUUUAAAAGUGCUCAAUCUGUCUUGUAAUGCACUGUCAGAUGACGGAUUUCGUUUGCUCUUUGCACGCUUUAAGAUGUACAAGACUGGUUUUCAAGCGCUGGAAUCCUUAGAUGUUGCUGAUAAUACUGUCAGUAUUAAAACUCUUAAGUCUUUGUUGGCCAUACCAAAACUGAGGAAUCUGAGGAUUUCAGUGACAUCCUCAUAUAAGAUGGGAAACUUAAAGUUUGCUCAGGAAUGGACAAGUUGCAUGAAAAGCAAGAACUUUGAAUUACUACCACGAGAUAGGAAAGUGGCAGGUAACAUAGAAACUAAAGGCUGGGGUGCUGCCAUAGUUUAUAUAUGGAAUAACCAAAUAGCUGAGUUGGAGAGAGCCAGACUAGCAAAGCUAGCACAGAGAAGGCAGAGUUUUUAUGCUAUUGGACUGAAGACAGCUAAAGUUGUGCCAUGUCAACCAAGCAUCGAGUGUCAGACACUUGAGACUUACACAUAUGUCAAGAGAUAUGAUAAAACCGCCGAUUUAGAUAUAAAUUAUGAGGCAUCAGGUUCAAGAAAAAAUGUGGGUUAUACCCUUAGUGAAGGAAGAACCAUAAAAAGGAAGCAAGAGAAUGAGGAUGGACUGAAGGCAGUUUCAAACAUAGAAACAAAACAGCAGAAAAUGGAUAAUGAUAGAGAUAUGGAGCUCCUGAAGAUUUAUCUUAAACCAUAAGUUUCCUGGUGUUCUUGCAUACAACAUCUCAAAAGCUGCAGUUGAUCAGUUGACACGAUGUGUUGCCUUAGAGCUUGCAGAUAAACAAGUUCGGGUCAACUCUGUUAACCCUGGUGUUGUAGUCACAGAACU